GCCGAAGUGGUGAAAUUGGUAGACGCAGAGGACUCAAAAUCCUCCGGACAUUAUGUUCGUGCCGGUUCGAUUCCGGCCUUCGGCA
rnacentral:tRNA from 1 species